CAGAGCUCUCUAUCUUCCCCUCUCUUUAGUCUUACUCACCACUCGCUUUCAAGAGAGUGAGUGGUGAGUAAGACUAAAGAGAGGGGAAGAUAGAGAGAUAA
rnacentral:pre_miRNA from 1 species